rnacentral:rRNA from 1 species
CCUACGGGAGGCAGCAGUGAGGAAUAUUGGUCAAUGGGCGAGAGCCUGAACCAGCCAAGUCGCGUGAGGGAUUACUGCCCUAUGGGUUGUAAACCUCUUUUGUCGGGGAGCAAAAGCCGGACGUGUCCGGCUGUGAGAGUACCCGAAGAAAAAGCAUCGGCUAACUCCGUGCCAGCAGCCGCGGUAAUACGGAGGAUGCGAGCGUUAUCCGGAUGUAUUGGGUUAAAAGGGUGCGCAGGCAGAUUUUUAAGUCAGCGGUAAAAUCGUGGGGCUCAACCCCAUCCAGCCGUUGAAACUGGGGAUCUAGAGUGUGCGAGCGGUAUGCGGAAUGCGUGGUGGAGCGGUGAAAUGCAUAGAUAACACGCAGAACCCCGAUUGCGAAGGCAGCAUACCGGUGCACAACUGACGCUCAGGCACGAAAGCGUGGGUAUCGAACAGGAUUAGAUACCCCAGUAGUC